AUCGUGAACAAUUUUGCGGCAAUGAGCUGUACGCACACGUCGUUGCAAGAUGAGCUAUUAAUAUGCGCGCGUAUAUACGAUGUCGCGUCUCCGCUCGCAAUCGUCAGGGGAUACGAUUUUCAAAAUAACAUAAGAUCUGAGUAACUGAUAUCUUAUUUAACGAUCAAAUGGUUUUCCAUUUAUAUAUUUAUAUUUAUUUCCAUGUUUUUUAUUUUCUUUGUUACGUAUAAAUCUUGUUUCGAGAGUAACAAUGAUUAAAAAUAAAUAAAUUGUGAUUUCUUUCUAACACGCUUCAUUCCACUUUUGAAAUUUAAAGAACAAUUUCUUAAAAGAGUUUUAUCUUGUAACAAGAUAUCAAUAUUUCAUUCUGAUAUACAGACGCAUUGAUUUAAGUUUACUAUUUAAGUUGUAUAUUACUUUACACGAAACAUUAGAUAUAUAGUAAAUCUCUCUUCCAUUUAAAGUAAUUUACUGUCAAUAAGACACGAUUCUCCUGACUCGAAAUGAUAUCUCUUUCGAUGUCAUAAAGUUUCUUAAUCAUAAACAAUAGACUUUCUCUCACUAUACAUAAUGCUCCUAUCUCCAACAACAGGUGAUUAUCGGCCAUUCUAUAGCUCGACAAUAAAAGCAGACCGGCUUUUUCGCUCCCGGCGCAAUAAAACCACGUUCACGCAUAUCGUGAACGUCGAAGAAACCAGUUAACGAUUUAGACUUUCCCCGUGCAGAAAAAAAAAUCUUCGUUGCAUCGCGACCACACCGGUAAAUAUCGUCGACCGAUCUCGUGCGAUCGCGCGACCCGCUUUAAUAGCGGACGAUCACGGAAUGUCGCGAGGAAAAUCGCAUUUAAUGCGGAGACACCGACCUCGAUUAUCACGUCAUUAACUAACAAGGAUUGAUACGCCAAAUGCAAUAGACACUCGGCGUCUCCCAUCUCCUUAAUAGAGACUUCAAUGCACGGUAUGUCGACCGAAGAAAAAAUAACGACGAUUACUCCGAUUUCUUUAUCGCAGCAUUCGUCACGGUAGACAAUCUCUUACUGUAAUGAUAUUACACAUCCGAAAAGUAUUAGGUUCACUGGAAACGAAUGUAAAUUAAACCGACAGUAAUUUACAAUAUCUCUCAGAACUGAUUUAAAUCAGUUUGUUGAUUUGUCAGAAACACAAAUGUUUAUUUAUGAAAGUUCUAGUCGUAUUGGAUUUGAUAAGUACCUCAAGGAUCCGUCCUCUUAAGAAAUCAAUAUCUCAUCACGUACCAUAAACGUGGUUCUGUCAAUUCGGAGUUUCAAGUUGCUCCGGUCACUAUCAGCGGCGAUCGAGCAAUCGGGAUGAGCAGGAAGAGAAUCGUUGCUACCCGGCGUGAAUCCACGUCUCCCCGACGAAAGUCAGCAACUGGCGGCGCCUCGAGUGAUCCUCGUGAGAUCUUUUCCUGUCGAUAGCCGACGAUGUCAGACGCUCGGUUCCAUGGUCAAACCGGCACGAUCGAACGUGAACACGAUAUAUCAGAAGGAAAUUGACGUGCUUUCACCGCACACGUAGAUUCUUGCACUUUGCUCGCAUGCGAUUCACCGCACAUCGUGACUAACGCAUCCCGAGAUCGCUACUACGUCAUCGCCAACGAUCAUCAACGAAGCUUACGGGACCCCAUGAAUGGCUUCGUAUGCGAUUGCGCGCGUGCAAUUGUAGUCGUCGUAGUCGUGACACUCGUCAAGCUGGUUUGCGCGCGACGCGCCGACGUGGUAUGCAGCUUGUGCUCUCGCGUGGGUUCUCUUUAUAAGAGGCGCACACACACAAAUGCGGUUGCAGUAACGGAUAACAACGAGGCACCAUGCAACAGGCAGACGAUCUGAUACACAGGAGCAACGAUGUAUAUUUUCAUAAAUUCACAUCAGGGCAUCAAUACUCGAAACUACAGAACUGCCAUGGAACUGGUCGUUGCCGUUAAAGUAGGGGAUUUACAGUAUCGUACACACCGUUUACGAGCUGUAGACUUGUGGUUGUGGUGUGACGCCUGUUGCGUUCACAAGGUCACACAUUCAUACCUGACUGCGUGCAUGUGCAAGUGAGAGAACCUUAUACAAAUGCCGUGAUGGACAAUAAACUUUUGUCUACGGACAAGUGCGUUUACAUACGUUCGUUGUAUAUUAUUUCAAACGCAUAUUUAAAUACGCAUGCCGUGAUGUCCGAUGUGCGUAUCUAAUUCUAUUUGAUCGCACGUGAUGACAUGCAAGGAUAACUUCGUCAGGUAUCACGGCCUUCGAAGUUAAGCAUGUUACAUAUUACAAAAACCAUACGCAUCUAUAAAGAAGAGAGAUGAUCUAAUUCAAUAUGCAUCACACAUAGAUUAGCGUUUAUUCGAGAAUCAAUUGUUUCAUUUUAUUAUACGCACGACCAGAUUAGAUAAAUUGCAUGUUUACGAUAUAAGAGAUGCUGGGUCUUUUCUUUCUAU